UGUAGCUCUGGCUGUCCUGGAACUCACUCUGUUGACCAGGCUGGCCUAUGAACUUGUAUACAUCCACCUGCCUCUGCCUCCUGAGUGCCCUGAUAAUAUUUUCUAAUUGGAAAUCUGUCUGGGAAACUUCUCCUGACACCAGCCUGUGUCGCACUUUCAGACCCUGCCAGACAUAGAGCGGGGAACAGUGGGAAAGGGAACCAGGCAGAGGUCGGCACACUCGGAGGGGAGGCGACAAAGGACACAGAGGGCCUGGUGGCAGCAGAAAAGAGAUGGAGCCCCCUGUAGGACCCACCUAGUUCUUUCCCAGUCUGUCUUCACUGAACCGUGGGAGCAGAACCUGUAUGUCAGUCAGGUGCUAGGGAGUAAGGGAUUCAGGACAAGUAGCCGGACAGGGAGAAGACAGGGAUUCAGCGGUCUGAAAAGGGGGGUGAAAAGUCACAAACAUCAUGCGUCACCACGCUCAGCCUGGCCUGGGUGAACAUUUCCCAACAGCAAGGCAGGGUGAAUUGCCCUCCUGGACCUCCUUGGGAAGGGUGUGCCCUGCUGCCGCUGGGAGCUCUCAAGGCUUCCAGGGGUGGCUGUGGGGUCACAGUUGAGAUGAAGAUCUCUCACCAUCUCUUACCUAGUAAUCCAGAUCCUUUUCCUGCAGUAAUCUUUGAAGUUUCCAGGAAGAAGAUGGGGCCUCACAGCAACAGCUCCACCUGGUUGAGAUGACGUCAUGAUGCUGACAGUGCUGCUCUAAGACCAGCUUGGGGUACCAGCUGCUGACAUGGUGCACCUUCUCAUGACGUUCUGGCCAGAACUCCAGAUAAGAACUUUGGAAAAAACCCUAUCAACUGCUCAGAAACUGUUUGCAACUAUGCUAGACAGUAAUCUUGAAACUUAACCACCACUUUACUUUUGCAGGAUCCCAUAAAGAGAACAUCGCCCCCACGAUGGCGGGAAGCAGUUCUAGAGGACAACGUCCACUCUCACAAAAAACACCAAUCUAUUUCUGAGAGAAUGUUGAACACUGAAGACAUUCCAUUCAGAGUUUG